CCUCCAGGCUGAGUGUGACGCCUUUGAAGAGAAGAUUAGGGCUGCAGGUGGGAUCGAGCUCUUUGUUGGAAGCAUCGGCCCCCAUGGACACAUUGUCUUCAAUGAGCCAGUCUCCAGUCUGGUGUCCAGGACCUGUGUCAAGAUGCUGGCCAUGGACACCAUCCUGGCCAAUGCAAGGUUCUUCGAUGGAGAGCUGGCCAAGGUGCCCACCAUGGCCCUGACAGUGGGCAUGGGCACUGUCAUGGACGCUAGAGAGGUGAUGAUCCUCAUCACAGGGGCCCACAAGGCAUUUGCUCUGUACAAGGCCAUCGAGGAGGGCGUGAACCAUAUGUCAACCGUGUCUGCCUUCCAGCAGCAUCCACGCACCGUGUUUGUGUGUGACGAAGAUGCCACCUUGGAGCUGAAGUUGAAGACUGUCAAAUACUUCAAAGGUUUAAUGCUUGUUCACAACAAGCUGGUGGACCCCUUGUACAGUAUCAAAGAGAAAGAAACUGAAAAAAGCCAGUCUUCUAAGAAACCAUACAGCGAUUAGCCUGUGCUGGGCCCUGGCAUCAAAUACCUCAUAGAGGCAGGCGGGUCUUUCUGGAAAUUGUCUUUAUAGCAGAACUGUAUUUCUUUAACUCAGUGUGGUUACUCCAGAUAAGUGGGUGAACUUACUGUUCUUGGCUAUGAGGCUAGGCGCUGAGUCAUGGACUUUAGCUACAGAGAGAAUUAUUUGCUGUAAUUUAAUCAGAAAAGUCUCUGAAAAAUGUCCUCCACCAUUUUGACAUCUGCCAAGCCCAGG